UGAGGAAUAUUGGUCAAUGGGCGGGGAGCCUGAACCAGCCAAGUCGCGUGAGGGAUGACGGUCCUACGGAUUGUAAACCUCUUUUGCCGGGGAGCAAGCGUGCGUUCGUGAACGCGCGUCGAGAGUACCCGGAGAAAAAGCAUCGGCUAACUCCGUGCC
rnacentral:rRNA from 1 species